rnacentral:rRNA from 1 species
UACGUAGGGGGCAAGCGUUGUCCGGAAUUAUUGGGCGUAAAGAGCGUGUAGGCGGCCAGAUAAGUCCGCUGGUGAAAUCUCGAGGCUCAACUUCGAGCUGUCGGUGGAAACCAUCUAGCUAGAGUCCGGAAGAGGAGAGUGGAAUUCCUGGUGUAGCGGUGAAAUGCGCAGAUAUCAGGAGGAACACCCGUGGCGAAGGCGGUCUCUGGGACGGUACGACGCUGAGACGCGAAAGCGUGGGAGCGAACAGG